ACGAACACAAACAACCUUGGACGCGACGAAUGAAACCGGUUUCAAUUAUUAGUACGCAGCACACAGCUACGUUAAAUUCAUAUUGUAUUAUCUGACUAAGGAAGAGACCAGUUUUAAUAUCAUUUUGUCCAUCGAUUGUAAAUUGGAACGUGGAAAAGUGAAUUUCUCAUUUGGUAUAAUCGACAGAAAUAUUAAAAUGUCUAAUGAUUAUAUACGAGUUUACAGUAAUAGAAAUAUUGAUCUGUUGAACUUCCAUAUUGGGUGGUUUUAGACGCGUGGCGGACGAACUCGACAUAUAACAGCUAUACCGUAGAAACGGACAAGAUGAUGACACCUAGCUGGCUUAAAGUUUACAUCAGUAUAAUAUAUAUUAUGUUUAUUGUAUUAGUGGGAGAGAUUGCAUAUAAAUGCUGCUAUCCACUGGAGAUAUGAGGUCAAAAUCUUAGUUGUAUUGCAUGAUCGCUGUUUCGCCUUUUAAGCUGGAUUAACGCUUCGCAUCAGAAAUAUCGUUAAGCUUACAAUCCGACAUACUAAACUUUUUUGGUGUAAUUAAAUGCGGGCAAAAGCGUAAUGCCUUGAGAGCAUUCAGAAAGUGCCUUUGCCGAGCAGAUAAUAUGAUAUUGUAACGGGAAAAUGGAACAACACCUAACACAAUGUAUGGUCGGUCGCCAGUUAGAAACUAUAAAACUCACGUAGUAAUGACGGCAAACAACCUUCAACAAAACGUCUACAUUAAUGUGCAAGAGAUACAACAUUUUGAAACUAAAUAAAAGAAGAAUAGGUAUAAAUAAAUUCGAAUACUUUAUAUUUUACGGAAGAACCUUACUUAUUGGUAAAGCAAUAAGUUCUAUAUUGCAUUAAAUAUUUAAAUAGUCAACUAAUAGACUAUUGUUUUGGUUUCUUGUUUUUAAACGGAUAUAUUAUAAUGAGAAGUUAAUUGCAAUUUUUUUUCGUUUAGAUUAAAUCAUUUGAUGUUC